CGAAGUGAUCCAGUUGGAAAGCCGCUGAGAGGAAAUUGGCUGGCCUCUUGCGCACUCAGCCGAGGCGACAAAAAGUUGUGAGGACUUUCUGAACGGCUUGUUCCGCUCGAGGUAGAAAGCAUCGAGCAUGUGGAGACAACGAUCCUCACUAGUCACGUGAGGCUUGAGGCAGAGGACUGGAAGAAAAAUGUCCUGACCCAUGUAGUAGGCAGAGACCACCUUCCGGAGAAACAAGGGGUGUGGGCGGAGCUGGACCUUGUCCUUGUGAAAGACCGUAUACGGCGGCUCGGAGUUCAGGGCCCUGAACUCCGAGACCUGCCUCGUCGAUGUGAAAGCAACCAAGAAGGCCACCUUCCACGAGAGGACCCUGCUGAUCAGAGGGAACGGAGGAAAGGCGUAGAGAAGCUGGCCUGACCAGAAUAGGAUGAAGGCAUUGGAGACAGUGCCCAUCCCUAGGCCCCCCCGGAGCAGAACUGGGGGCAUCGUCGGUUCUGCCGGGUCGUAAAUAGGUCCACCUGGGGAGUUCCCCACCUUCGGAAGAGCUGGUGGGCCACUUCCUGGUGUAGAGACCACUCAUGCUGAGAGGAAAAGUCUCUGCUCAAGCGAUCCGCCCUCACGUUCCAGGAGCCCAGCAGGUGAAAGGCUUUUAGGUGGAUGUCGUGAGCUAUACAGAAGUCCCACAGACUGAGGGCUUCAUGGCAGAGGAUCGGGCCCCACCUUGCCUGUUGAUGUAGAACACUGAGGCCGUGUUGUCCAUAAGAACCCGACUACCUUACCCUUCAGAUGUGAGCAGAAGGCCAUACAUGCCAGUCGCACCGCCCUGAGUUCCUUGACGUUUAUAUGAAGGGUUAGGUCUUGCAGAGACCACAGGCCUUCGGUCUGAAAAUUCCCCACAUGGACCCCCCAGCCCAAGUCCGAUGCAUGGGACACCAGCUCCAACAACGGGCCCUGUCCCUGAACGAGACCCAUUGGAGCAUAUUGCUUGGGGCGGACCACCACCAUAGGUAGGUGAUCACCGAGUUCGGCACGAUAAGGGCCUUGUCCAGUCUGUCCGUGACUCGGAGAACUUCAAGGCCAGCCAGACCUGGAGGGGCCUCACCCUGAGUCUGGCGUGGCGGACCACAAACGUGCAUGCCGACAUGUGACCUAGCAGCUGCAGGCAAGCCCUGGCUGUCGUCACCGGGAACCUUGCGAUCGAGUCGAUGAGCCCUUUCAGGGUGUCGAACCUGUCUGUGGGGAGAGAGGCCCUGGCCGACGUUGCAUCCAGGAGUGCCCCGAUAACUCUAUGCAUUGGACCGGGACCAACGUGGACUUGGUCUUGUUUACCAACAGGCCCAGGGCAGUGCAUGUGGACAGGAGGAGUGCCACAUGAUCCCUCACCUGCAAUCGGGAGGUGCCCUUCACCAGCCAGUAGUCCAGAUAGGGGAAUAUCUGGACUCCCCGGCAUCUGAGCCUUGGAUAGGUCGCCAGCUGUAAGGCAAAAUGGGAAGGAAUUUAAACUUGCUGAGUGAUGUUAAAAGGGUACAAAUGGAGAAUCUACACUAGUCUCUGGACAGAAGCAUUGACGCUUUUACAAGUGAGAGCACAGCUGAGAUGCAGUCAUGUGACCCAUAUGUCUGAGAAUACAACACCGAAAGCUGUCUUCUAUGGUGAAUUACAGAUUGGAACUCGUUUUGGGGCAAACCAGGGAAGCAUUACAAUGACCCUCUGAAAGCCAACCUCCAAUCUUGCAAUGAGCACCUCAAAUACCUUAGAGCUCUUAACCCACAAUAGGACCCAAUGGCAGCAGCUCUGCCACCUUGGACUGGAAGACUUCAAGAGCUCAUGGACUGCUGCAACCCAGGAGAAAAAUACAAGAUAUAAAGCUAAAAGCAGUGCACAUUCAUCUUCAAGUGUUUUCACCUGUGGCACUUGCAGACAGGGCUGUAGGUCAAAAAUUGAUCACUGAUCUCAUCUCAAGACCCAUGAUAAAUGACUGUUACUCAUCCAUCAAACUCGAUAGGAGACUCCAUCAUCAUCAGUUUGAUUACAUGUGUCUAUCUGUUCCAAAUGGGCCAAAAUGAAGGGAACAAAUGAACAGUAAUCUUGCUGAAAGUUCACAGGGAAAAAUCUUUGCUUUUUCCUGGUUAGGUCAUUAUCAAAGAUAUCUAUGAUUUUCCAGAAUGAUGUGUUAAAGAAUGAUUGUUCUUGCAAACAAUCAGCCAAAGCAAUUAGGCAAAUCUCUGGCCAGCAAAGAUUUCAGAUGGUGGUGAAGAACCUGACCCUGACUCUUUGACAAGAGAUAUGAAAAAGCUGAUAAAAGACUCUUGCAUUUCUGCAGUCAGGUUCUUGUGUGCUGUUAUGCCAAUUUCUUUAAGGGAAACAUAAGAAUAAGCACACAUUUCCUUCACUACCUGAUCCACGAAU